rnacentral:lncRNA from 1 species
UUGUGUGUGUGUGUAUUUGAGUGUGUUUGAGAAUGCCAGGUUUUUUGGAAAUGUUUUUCUAGCUGCUCUGAAGUGCCUGACAUAUUUUAUAAGUAGUAGUAAAACCUUUUCUGUAAAUACCUUUUCGUUAGGAUUCAUUUGAAAUAGUGUUUGGAGAGGAAUAGCCCGACCUCUCCUGAGUUGACCGCAUUGUGUUUGUGCCCUGGUUCCCAGAAGGAAAUCCAGAGUUCUAAACCAUUGUGGUCCGUGUGUGGAAAGGGAACCGCUGUCCGGUUUCGUUUGGCUUUGCUCUGUACAUAGUGUAUGUAAAGGACAAAGGGGUCCUAAUUUACAACAUCUAGUCACUCUAGAUGUCAAAGAGGUUGCCAGUGUAUGACAAAGUAGAAUUAGUGGAACAAUGCACUUUUUUUUUUUUUUUUUACAUUUUGUGUUAAAGAAUUUUUUUUCUUUUUUUUUUUUUUUUUUUUUUCUUUUUUUCGGAGCUGGGGACCGAACCGAGGGCCUUGCGCUUGCUAGGCAAGUGCCCUGCCACUGAGCUAAAUCCCCAACCCCUGUGUUAAAGAAUUUUUAAUUACUCUUGUUACAUGUGUGCCGUUUACUGGACUGCUGUGUACAUAGUGGACAACAGUCCUUAUUGAAACAUCUGGUCUAUCUAGAUGUUUAGAAGUGCCCAACGUAUGUUAAAUGUAGAGGUAGUGAAAUACCACUUUGUAAAUAUCUUUUUGCAAAAACUCAUGAAUCAUUGUCUUUUGGGAGUGGAGUGAUGAGCCCCUCCGACCAGUCCGGUUUGGAGGAGGUGCUGGGAGGCAGUGACAGCAGUCAUGUAGUAGUGAGUGUUUAUGGGACCUUUUCAGAUGCCAUUUCUAUAUACUUGCAUUUUGUUUUGCUGUAUGUAUACUGUAUAUAGUGGACAAAUAUGUCUAAAGUUUUCAACAUGUAGACUUUAGAUGUUAAAGAGGUUGCCAAUGUAUGACAAGGUAGUAAAUUAGUACCUAGUGUACCCAGUUAGAAUUCAUAGAAAAUACUGUUCUGUAAAUGACUUGGGGAUAGGAAUUUGUUCAGCUGUUUCUGACAUUACACAUGCCUAUAUUUGUCUACUGGUUUGAAGGCAGAGAGAGGGGAAAAGAAAGUGGGUCAAAGCCCAAAUGGUUAUAUUUAGAAGAUACCUCAGAUAAUAUCCAUUGCUUUGCCUAGUUUUUAUUUACCAAUGCCAUGUGAAUAGCAGUUCUUACAUGAAGCAUCCAGUCUUUCUAGGUAUUUGAAAGUGCUUGAUACAUUUAAAAGUACACAUAGUAGAAUAUUUUGUGUAUAUAGUUUUUUAAAACUGGAGAAAUAGUGUGUGUAGAGGUAGAAUUGUUAACCCACCUCUGAGAACAGUGUACUGGCUGUACUUGUUCAGUGGAUUGAGGAGGUGGGAGGGAAGAAACUGCAAAAAGAUUCCAUUAGUGCUAGACAUCUCUAGCUUACCCGUCACCCUGUAUGCUGUGUGCAUCUCAUGUAACCGCUAUACUGUAUUAUAUUGUACAUACUGGACUAAUGAGUCCUAGGAUAUCUAGUCUCUAGGUAUUAAAGAGGUUGCCAAUGUAUGACAAAAGUAGUUCGUCACCUCACACAUUCUGUAUACUCUGUUAGUUCAUAGCAAGGUUGUCUUCUGAAGAGUUGUGAAAGUGUAUCAUCCGAGUGACAGGUGCCCGUGUCACAGGACACAGGAGAGGGGCUGGAGGGGAAGAAAGGUCGGAGACCAGAAUAUUCUCACCAGAAGACACUUUGAGACCUAACAAGUUACAUGUGUGUGGUUUCAACACUACUAUGUAUAUAGGGGACAAAUUUAGGUCCUCAUCUGAAACAUCUAGUCCUUCUAGGUGUUUAGAAGUGCACAAAGUAUGUUAAAGUAGACAUAGUAAAUAACACAUGUUGUAGCUUCUCCUGUUUAAACUCAUGGAAUGCUGUCUUUUGAAACUAGAAAGAGAAAACCGCUUCUGAGCAAUGCAGCCUUGCUUGCGAGGGUUUGGGAGGAGGGAGAAAGAAGAGGAAUGAAGGGCCCAAUGCUAAUGUAAGUUUGGUAAUGCAAGAUUAGCCAUUGUUCCUUAUAUCUGUGCAUCUGAUUUUGCAAUGUAUAGAUGAUGUGUCCAAAUAUGCAGCACCCAGUCUUCCUAGACAGUAAAGAGGUGCCAGUGUGUGACAAAGUAAAGUGAGUGAACAGACAUGUUUGUAAAUUGCGUGAAAAUUUGUAGAAAAAAACUCAUAAAACCAUUUAGGAAAUGAAAAUGUUCAUCUCUGCACAAAGACAUGGCAGUUGCACACGUGACCCCUGGGUGGAGAGAACAGGAAGAGGGGCUAGACCGGAACCUUGGUGUUGAGAAGGCAGUUUCUGACUGCAGCCUUUGUUAGGUGUACAGUGUAUCCACAGUAGUGUACUCAUGCUGGGGAAACGGAAGUGCGUAUUGGGAACAUCAGUCUCUAGAUAGUCUUCAGAGGUGCAUUAAUAGUCUUGGUGUGGUAGAGCACACCUUUAAUUCUAGGCUGAGGCAGGUGGAUCUCUGUUCCGGUUCAGCCAGUGCUAUCUAUGAACUUUGUCUCAAAUCAGUAAGAAAGUGUGCAUGAUGAAAUGGCAGGGUGGCUCGGCAUGGAAAGGUGCUUGUCACCAAGCUUGUGACCUGAGCUUGAUUUCCAGGAUCCACAUGAUAGGAGAAGUCAUUCACAACUUGUCUUUUAGCCUCAUGCAUACAGUAAUGUGUAAAUGUAAAACUGCACACCAUGGUAACACCACUUUUUAGAUUGUUUUAUUUCAUAGGAAUGGUCACACCGGGGAAGUGGAGGGCAAAGUUGGCCUUUGAGCAGAUGCUGUUACCAGGUGGUGGAGGUGGGCUAGGGCAAAGACUAGUGCUGAGAAAAGGGCACUGUAGCUGUUGGCUCAAGCUGUCUAGAACCGGUUAGAUUUGCAUUUCAGUUAACCAGUUGCCAGGCAUUAGAAAUAGUCCCAGGCCUAAAGGAUGUUAGCAGUAGCAAGAGUCACUAGAAGUCAGGCUGGUCUUUGUUAUGGUCUCACUAGCAUCAUCUGCGCUUAGGAGUUGUGCAGAGAAGAGGAUGGGAGAGGGAGAGACUGUAGUACUACUACAUCCAGAAGACAGCUGUCUGUACCCAGGGGCCCUAUGUGCAUCUCGGGAAAAUACUUGUGUUCAUUGUGCAGAGUUCAUUCCUCAUCUGAACGUUAUGUCCUAAAGGAGUGCACAUGGCUAAAGUGUAGCUAAUGAUAUGGCAGAACUGACAGAGGGUUCCUCUUGAACAUGGAACUGGUAAGCCAUGUCUGGACAGUGUGGGGAAAUUCAUGUUGCUAGGAUGACUGGAGGGGCAGAGAGGCUCUCGGGGUGAGGUCUGCAGCUGUGUGGAGACUGACAUUCUGAGAGCCCCCCACUGUGGGUGCAUCUCCCAGCUGCUCCAUGGGAAUACAUUUCUUGAUCGGGGAACACCCCUUCUGCAUAUGUUAGUGUCUAGAUCUGAUGAUGAGCUUAGGAAUGCUAGACUUAGUGUGGUCUGUUGCUUUGUGUUUCCUUGUGAGCUGAGCACUGAGCGAAUGCAGAAUUCAGUUGUAACUUUGCCAGUACGUCUAUCUAGAGGCCUGCUGCCGUUUUUGUCUUCUAUGAAGUUUCUUUUGCCAAGGAAGACAAGAUUACAAUUUUGUCUGACAGAUUGAGAUGGCAUGGUGUAUUCUUGGCUAUCAAAUCCUCGUGUGGCACGUGGUUUUUAGUUGGUGAAUAUUCACAAUGUGGGGAAGCAUGGUACAUACUGUAUAAUCUCCAUUACCCAAGUGUAUGUACACCUGCAAGAUCUAGAACGACACACCGAGCUGAGCUGCUUGUGACUGGGUGACUUUGUUCUUGCCCUCUUGUGUUUUGUUUCCUGUAAUACACAUAUUAAAAAAUAAACAAAACCUUCUUUUAAAACUGAA